AUUGAACGCUGGCGGCAGGCCUAACACAUGCAAGUCGAGCGGAUCGGCGGACGGGUGAGUAAUGCCUAGGAAUCUGCCUGGUAGUGGGGGAUAACGUCCGGAAACGGGCGCUAAUACCGCAUACUCUCAGAUGAGCCUACGUCGGAUAAGCUAGUUGGUGUGGUAAAGGCCUACCAAGGCGACGAUCCGGAACUGGUCUGAGUGGAUGAUCAGUCACACUGGAAAUGAGAAAGGGUCCAGAGGCCUACGGUAGGAAGCAGUGGGGAAUAUGGGACAAUGGGCGAAAGCCUGAUCCAGCCAGGCCGCGUGUGUGAAGAAGGUCUUCGGAUUGGAAAGAACGUUAAGUUGGGAGGCGUUACCAACAGAAUAAGCACCGGCUAACUUCGUGCCAGCAGCCGCGGUAAUAC
rnacentral:rRNA from 1 species